AGAGUUUGAUCCUGGCUCAGAUUGAACGCUGGCGGCAGGCUUAACACAUGCAAGUCGAGCGGGGGAAGGUAGCUUGCUACUGGACCUAGCGGCGGACGGGUGAGUAAUGCUUAGGAAUCUGCCUAUUAGUGGGGGACAACAUCUCGAAAGGGAUGCUAAUACCGCAUACGUCCUACGGGAGAAAGCAGGGGAUCUUCGGACCUUGCGCUAAUAGAUGAGCCUAAGUCGGAUUAGCUAGUUGGUGGGGUAAAGGCCUACCAAGGCGACGAUCUGUAGCGGGUCUGAGAGGAUGAUCCGCCACACUGGGACUGAGACACGGCCCAGACUCCUACGGGAGGCAGCAGUGGGGAAUAUUGGACAAUGGGGGGAACCCUGAUCCAGCCAUGCCGCGUGUGUGAAGAAGGCCUUAUGGUUGUAAAGCACUUUAAGCGAGGAGGAGGCUACUCUAGUUAAUACCUAGGGAUAGUGGACGUUACUCGCAGAAUAAGCACCGGCUAACUCUGUGCCAGCAGCCGCGGUAAUACAGAGGGUGCGAGCGUUAAUCGGAUUUACUGGGCGUAAAGCGUGCGUAGGCGGCUUAUUAAGUCGGAUGUGAAAUCCCCGAGCUUAACUUGGGAAUUGCAUUCGAUACUGGUGAGCUAGAGUAUGGGAGAGGAUGGUAGAAUUCCAGGUGUAGCGGUGAAAUGCGUAGAGAUCUGGAGGAAUACCGAUGGCGAAGGCAGCCAUCUGGCCUAAUACUGACGCUGAGGUACGAAAGCAUGGGGAGCAAACAGGAUUAGAUACCCUGGUAGUCCAUGCCGUAAACGAUGUCUACUAGCCGUUGGGGCCUUUGAGGCUUUAGUGGCGCAGCUAACGCGAUAAGUAGACCGCCUGGGGAGUACGGUCGCAAGACUAAAACUCAAAUGAAUUGACGGGGGCCCGCACAAGCGGUGGAGCAUGUGGUUUAAUUCGAUGCAACGCGAAGAACCUUACCUGGCCUUGACAUACUAGAAACUUUCCAGAGAUGGAUUGGUGCCUUCGGGAAUCUAGAUACAGGUGCUGCAUGGCUGUCGUCAGCUCGUGUCGUGAGAUGUUGGGUUAAGUCCCGCAACGAGCGCAACCCUUUUCCUUACUUGCCAGCAUUUCGGAUGGGAACUUUAAGGAUACUGCCAGUGACAAACUGGAGGAAGGCGGGGACGACGUCAAGUCAUCAUGGCCCUUACGGCCAGGGCUACACACGUGCUACAAUGGUCGGUACAAAGGGUUGCUACACAGCGAUGUGAUGCUAAUCUCAAAAAGCCGAUCGUAGUCCGGAUUGGAGUCUGCAACUCGACUCCAUGAAGUCGGAAUCGCUAGUAAUCGUGGAUCAGAAUGCCACGGUGAAUACGUUCCCGGGCCUUGUACACACCGCCCGUCACACCAUGGGAGUGGGUUGCAAAAGAAGUAGGUAGCUUAACCUUCGGGAGGGCGCUUACCACUUUGUGAUUCAUGACUGGGGUGAAGUCGUAACAAGGUAACCGUAGGGGAACCUGCGGCUGGAUCACCUCCU
rnacentral:rRNA from 1 species